AAGUUUAAGUUAAUUAUUUAAACCCAGAGCCUUCAAAGCCCUAAAUAGGGUACGCCACCCUAACUACCG
rnacentral:tRNA from 1 species